AUGAGACAAGGGCUUGGUCCUAUUGAAGUUACAUUUGAGAAUUUUCCCUACUACCUUAGCGAGAAUACGAAGGAUGUGCUCUUAUCAUGUUCAUUCCUACAUUUGGAAAAGAAGGGAUUCAUUGAGCAGUUCUCGGAAGUUUCUUCAAUAAACCAGCGAAUUUAUCAUCUGGUCCAUCAAGAUUGCAACCGGAGGAGCCGGAGAACACGACCCCUGUCCUAUGUGCGGCCAUAUCCCCCAUGGCUUCUACAAGGACCAUAUCCCCCACGGUUUUUUAGGGAACUCUUUUGA
rnacentral:rRNA from 1 species